UACUGGGCAGAGGCCUGUGGUGGCUGCAGUGCCAUGCAGGGGCUGUGAUCUGUGGAGCUGGGUCCUGGAUUGACCCUUGGGAACCUGAGUGAGGUGAUAGUGGAUCUGCUGCCCCAUGACCUGAGUCCAUGACUCACUUUCCACAACCUCCAAGGGGAGACACUGGAUGCCUGGGAAAGCCUUCUGAAAUCUACACACACUUGAACACCUCCCUGACCUGCUCAAGACUAUUCAGAUCUACAAAGUAGGUGCCAAACUCUGUGCCAUGGCCCCAAUCACCCAGGCCAGGGCUGUUUCCAACCCAGGAGCCCUCAAGUGAUGGUGAAGGAUGACAAGGUCCCUGAUGCAGAAGAAGCCAUUUUAUUAGGUGAGGCAGGUGGGAUGUUACACACGCCUGGUGGGAAAAGAGAGGGAGCAGGUUCCUCGGAGAGAAGGCGACUGUGUCAUCUUCCAGCACAUGGGUCAGUCAUCUGUGAGCACUGGGAAGCUGGGCCAGAGGGAAUGGAUUGAGCAGCAA